GGUUCGAUUCUGGCUCAGGAUGAACGCUGGCGGCGUGCUUAACACAUGCAAGUCGAACGGAAAGGCCCUGCUUUUGUGGGGUGCUCGAGUGGCGAACGGGUGAGUAACACGUGAGUAACCUGCCCUUAACUCUGGGAUAAGCCUGGGAAACUGGGUCUAAUACCGGAUACGACCAAUCUCCGCAUGGGGUGUUGGUGGAAAGCGUUAUGGAGUGGUUUUAGAUGGGCUCACGGCCUAUCAGCUUGUUGGUGAGGUAACGGCUCACCAAGGCUUCGACGGGUAGCCGGCCUGAGAGGGCGACCGGCCACA
rnacentral:rRNA from 1 species